AUGCUAUUUUUUCCAUUCAUUACCUUUGAGGAUCAGUCGUGGUCUUCUAGACUCUACCAAAAGUCUGGACGAAUUUGUUGUUUCAUCCAAAUGUGUAAAAGAUCAUAGUCGCACUUAAAAGCCGAGUACUCUACCAUUGAGUUAGCAACCCAGAUAAAAAAAGGAUCUUAGAUACGAUCGAAAUCCAAAAAUCAAUGGAAUUACACCGCGCGCUUCUGUCAAAACAUUGAACUAGCAAGACAUCAAAAGAUUUUUUUUAUCGACCAUGAAAAACACUCAAAUGCCAAAACGAACAGGUCCGGUGAAAUUCCACUAAAGUAAAGUUAAAAAAAGAGCGACCCUAAUCACGAUGGCCAAAUUCUCCUUAUUUUUAGCGAUUUUUAUUAACAAAAAAUAUAUAUUAUAAAAAAUAUAUAUUAUAUUGUAUGAGAAUACAUGCAAGAGGAACACCCUUAUCAUUUGAGCGAAGUGUAGGCGGAAAAAUUGAAUAUGGAGUGAGGAUAAAGAGACCCAUCUAUCUACAAAUUCUAUUUGUUCAAUAGACCUUUGUCAAUGGAAAUACAAUGGUAAGAAAACAAAUUAGAUAGAAAAAGUAAAUAAAAUAGGGGCUUAUGUUGGAUUGGCACGAUAUAAUAUAAAUCCAAAUAGGAUUAAAAAAGAGGUAAAUUGUGUCUAAAUAAUUAGACAACUAGGAAUACUAAUAAUCUUCUCCUAUCCUAUUUUUUGAUUCAUUUAGUUCUUCAAUUAACUCAAAGUUCUUUCUUUUUCUUUAAAGAAUUCUGCCUUCCUUAAAAUAUCAUAAACAGUUCUUGUUGGUUGAGCACCCUUUUCAAGGAAAUAGAGAAUAGCUGGAACAUUUAAACAAGUUUGAUUCUUUAUCGGAUCAUAAAAACCUACUUUUUGAAGAUCUCUUCCUUCUCUUCGAGAUCGAACAUCAAUUGCAACGAUUCGAUAGACAGCUUAUUGGGAUAGAUGUAGAUAAACAACGCCCCCCCCUAGAAACGUAUAUGAGGUUUUCUCCUCAUACGGCUCGAGAAAAUGAUUCGAAUUUCUGUCGAUAAUAA